UCGCCCCUCUCAAGUCUCACCGAUUGAGCCCUCUCCACCAGAACAUCCUUUCCCCUGCAUCGUAUAGGGCGUGGCGGCUGGGAAGCAAUCUCUGGUUGAGAACAAUCCGUCGGCUGACCGCUGAUCUGCUCGCCUCCGCCGACUUUACGGUAAUGGCACGACCACCAGGCCACUUUGUCUCCAACGACGUUUCGGGAUAUAUCAGGAUGCAGUCCCGUGCCGGUCGGCCGGCUCUGAUCGUCGGGCUCCUUGCCUUCGUGCACCUUGCCCAAGAUGCUGAUUUGUAUUCUAUCUUCUCCUAAUAUCUCAGUUCGGGCGCUGCUGGGAGGUUAAUUCCGCAGGGAGUCUCGAGCAAUCUUUAUUGAAGCACUUCUGAUGUAAGCAUGCAUACUGACACUAUGUACUGGCCUUACUUGAAACAUCUCAUUUCAAUCUAUUAUGCAGCGCGGAUGACUGUUUUAUAAGUGAAUUUAUUUUCUUUGUUCCAUAUGUGUGUAUCCUACUAUGUAGAUCAUGAAAGGCUAUCAAGCAAAC
rnacentral:lncRNA from 1 species